rnacentral:rRNA from 1 species
UGGGGAAUAUUGCGCAAUGGGGGAAACCCUGACGCAGCAACGCCGCGUGAAGGAUGAAGGUUUUCGGAUUGUAAACUUCUUUGAUUGGGGACGAAUAAUGACGGUACCCAAAAAACAAGCCACGGCUAACUACGUGCCAGCAGCCGCGGUAAUACGUAGGUGGCGAGCGUUGUCCGGAAUUACUGGGUGUAAAGGGCGUGUAGGCGGGGAAACAAGUCAGAUGUGAAAUUCUGGGGCUCAACCCCAGCGCUGCAUCUGAAACUGUAUCUCUUGAGUGCUGGAGAGGAAAGCGGAAUUCCUAGUGUAGCGGUGAAAUGCGUAGAUAUUAGGAGGAACACCAGUGGCGAAGGCGGCUUUCUGGACAGUAACUGACGCUGAGGCGCGAAAGCGUGGGGAGCAAACAGG